ACUUUCGCCAUCUUCCCGCUCCUGUUGUCAGAGCGGGAUGAGGAAAACUGU
rnacentral:sRNA from 1 species